CCUACGGGGGGCAGCAGUGGGGAAUAUUGCACAAUGGGGGAAACCCUGAUGCAGCAAAGCCGCGUGAGUGAAGAAGUCAUUCGUGAUGUAAAGCUCUAUCAGCAGGGAAGAAAAUGACGGUACCUGAGUAAGAAGCCCCGGCUAACUACGUGCCAGCAGCCGCGGUAAUACGUAGGGGGCAAGCGUUAUCCGGAUUUACUGGGUGUAAAGGGAGCGUAGACGGCCUGACAAGUCUGAAGUGAAAAUCCAGCGCUUAAAGUUGGAAGUGCUUUGGAAACUGCCGGGCUGGAGUGCAGGAGGGGCCG
rnacentral:rRNA from 1 species